rnacentral:rRNA from 1 species
UACAGAGGUCCCAAGCGUUGUUCGGAUUCACUGGGCGUAAAGGGUGCGUAGGUGGUUGGGCAAGUCUGAUGUGAAAUCUCCGGGCUUAACCCGGAAAUGGCAUUGGAAACUGCCCGGCUAGAGUGUUGGAGGGGGGACUGGAAUUCUCGGUGUAGCAGUGAAAUGCGUAGAUAUCGAGAGGAACACCAGUGGCGAAGGCGAGUCCCUGGACAACUACUGACACUGAGGCACGAAAGCGAGGGGAGCAAACAGG